rnacentral:SRP_RNA from 1 species
GCCGGGCGCGGUGGCGCACGCCUGUAGUCCCAACGACUCGGGAGGCUGAGGCAGGAGGAUCGCUUGAGCCCAGGAGUUCUGGGCUGUAGUGCGCUGUGCCGAUUGGGUGUCCGCACUAAGUUCGGCAUGAAUAUGGUGACCUCCCGGGAGUGGGGGACCACCAGGCUGCCUAAGGUGGGGUGAACCAGCCCAGGUCGGAAACGGAGCAGGUCAAAUUCUGGUCUCCUUCCCAGCCUUCCUGCUACUGUAUGCUUCUCAAAGUCCUCCCAUAGCUUCUCCCUGCAUCCU